CCUACGGGUGGCAGCAGUCGAGAAUCAUUCACAAUGGGGGAAACCCUGAUGGUGCGACGCCGCGUGGGGGAAUGAAGGUCUUGGGAUGUAAACCUCCUGUGAUGGGGGAGCACAGUAAAAGGUAAGUACCACAAGAGGCAGGGAUAGCUAAGUCCGUGCAGGCGCGGUAAUAAAUAGGUGGCAAGCGUUGUUCGGACGUACUGGGUGUAAAGGGCGCGUGGCCGGGCUGGUAAGUCAGGUGUGAAAGCCGGGGGCUCAACCCCCGCACGGCAUUUGAAACUGCGGGACUUGAGUAUCGGAGGGGCAGGCGGAAUUCCCGGUGUAGCAGUGAAAUGCGUAGAUAUUGGGAGGAACACUAGUGGCGAAGGCGGGUUGCUGGACAUUAACUGACGGUGAGGCGCGAAGGCCAGGGGAGCGAAAGGGAUUAGAUACCCGAGUAGUC
rnacentral:rRNA from 1 species